rnacentral:rRNA from 1 species
UACGUAGGGUGCGAGCGUUAAUCGGAAUUACUGGGCGUAAAGCGUGCGCAGGCGGUUCGUCGUGUCUCGUGUGAAAGCCCCGGGCUCAACCUGGGAAUGGCAUGGGAAACUGGCGAACUGGAGUGUGGCAGAGGGGGGUGGAAUUCCGCGUGUAGCAGUGAAAUGCGUAGAGAUCCGGAGGAACACCGACGGCGUAGGCAGCGCCCUGGCCGUUUCCUGACGCUGAUGCACGAAAGCUGGGGGAGCAAACAGG